rnacentral:rRNA from 1 species
UACGAAGGGGGCGAGCGUUGUUCGGAUUUACUGGGCGUAAAGGGCGCGUAGGCGGCGCCGGAAGUCAGGCGUGAAAGCCCCGGGCUCAACCUGGGAACGGCGCUUGGGACUCUGGUGCUUGAGUUCGGGAGAGGAGCGUGGAAUUCCCAGUGUAGAGGUGAAAUUCGUAGAUAUUGGGAGGAACACCGGUGGCGAAGGCGGCCCCCUGGACCGGUACUGACGCUGAGGCGCGAAAGCGUGGGUAGCAAACGGG